GGUGGGAGCUGCACCGGCCCCUGGCUGCAUCCUGAUCCUGAUUCUCUCCUGCAGAAACUGCAAGGGAGCAUCCCCAGCAUUGCCAGGCCACUCGAAGUCACUGUGAUGUUGAAGGCAGCCCCACAGUGACCUGCUGGCACACUGGAAAUUAUUUUCCCAGGUGGAUAACCCCCCCCCCCCCAGACUCUUUGUACCCCUCACCUUCCCCACUCGGCAGUGCCUCACCAGACUGGAAGUGCCCACUCAACUCUUGCUGGGAUCCCACUGAGCUCCCUGGGGUUCUCCUUCACUGCGGCUCCUGCCUGGAAAGCCGCAGCUCUAACUCUGCCUCAGCUGACCUCGCUCAAGUGCCGCUUUAAUUGCCGGCAGUGAUUUGGAAGUCCCGUCGCUGGUUAUUUCCAGGUCUUUGCUCCCGGAUAUCGCCCCCUGCUCCGGCCGCACAAGAGGAACUGAGGACAUUCCCAUGAGCAGUGUAAGAACUCUCCCAAACCAGCCUCAUCACCAUGGACAGCAGCUUCCAGGUGGGAAGAGCUCCCAGCCCAUCCCGUGUGUCCUUCCCUAGGAGCAGUUCAGCUGAGGGAGCUCCUGGGUGGCACCUGCCAGGUCCCUGCAGCUGCACGGGACACAGACAGCGCUCCGUGUCCUCCUCCUGGCAACAGGCAGCUCCCAGCCUGCGCUCUGCCUGCCUGCCAGCAGCGUUCCCAUCACUUUGGCUUUGCCUCUUCCUCAUAAGCCUUCUCCAACAGCAAGCAGUUUGGGAAGAGGCAUUGGAAUUACUCUGUGCUGGAGUUCCCUCCAGGAAAAAGCCUUUUCACUCAUCUUCUCCAUUGCUGGGAACUCUGGGUUUGUUCUGGUUUGGAUGGAGCAAACUAGGUUCAUCCUCAGCUGUAGGUGCCAUCUCCAGGGAAGCUUUCAAACCUCCAGGAGCUCUUUAUACCAAAAUAUGUUGCUACUUUUAUCUGAUGUUUUUCUGAUCUGGUGGUAGCAAGGAAUCCUACACGUAUCAUUUCCUAGCUCUGGUUGCUCUAAUAUGCUCAAAAAAGAAAGCAGAAGGCAUUAAA
rnacentral:lncRNA from 1 species